AGCAAGGGUGGUCAAUUGACCCCUGCAACCUCUGAAAUCCUCCAUUAGAGCCGCCCAAAUUGACCCUCGCAAGGUGCUCGAUGAAAUGCCCCAAUGGGGCAAACUCUUGUGCAGCAGAGAGAGAAAGAGAGAUUGAUAUAUACAUAUAUAAAUAUAUAAUACAUGGAAACCAAGCCCAAUGCCUCAGCCAUUUGAGACUUGAGAGAGAGAGAGAGAGAGAAAGAGAGAGAGGGAAAAAAAUGGGGGAUUCAAGUGAUUCAGUGUCGGUGGAUAUGGAGAGGGUUUCUCUUGGUGGAAAGGAGCAUCUUGUAAAAACCUGUCUUGGCUAUGUGUCUGUCGCUGUGUUGGGAGAUCAGGACAAGCCAGCUCUUGUCACUUAUCCUGAUUUAGCCCUAAACCACAUUGACCCCUGGAAGAAAAUAUCCUGGAUCCACCACUG